GGGUGGUUCUGCAGACACUGCGACUUCCUCAUGUGUUCUAGGGGACAAACAGCAGUCUGUUCACAUGGAAGGGCCGAGGAUUGCAGCGGAGGCUGAAGCCAGAGCACACACUCCUCCAGAGUUCCCCGCUGACCGAAUAAGACCAUGUCGAGCUCCCCCUCCUCCGCCAAAGAGCACCUCAUAGAUGUGAGAUGGAAAAAGGGACCCGUUUUGAGCAAAGCAACAACGGUUUGUGCACGUCACGGCUUAACAGACAUUCAACAGGUGUUGUCAUUGCUAAAGUUGAUAGCACAACAGUGGUUUCCCUGUCAUAAACCUGUUUACAACUCAGAUAUGUGCACACUCUUCAACUGGUGCAAUAUUAGUGGGAUCAAUGUUUAAAAUACUGGGAAGAAAUUUACUGAAUAUUCAAAUGUAAAGGUUAAUGGUAUGUAGCUUUAGCAUGGCAUAUAUUUGUUUAAUACAGUAACGCAAGUGUGGUGUUUUUCAGUGUUCUCAUGUUGUAUGUUUUUUUAUACCAAAACAAUGUAAUUCAUUUAUAUGUUAAAAGGAAAGGAUUCUGUAGUGAAACUUGUUGAAUUUCUAACUUUUAUGUAUAGACCAUUGGUCCGGUAGUAGGCAAGUCUCUGGAAAAGGAAAGAACACCUCCUUGUCUGAAAAUAGUUUACAUGUUAAUUUAUUGAAAUAUUUUGUAUUACAUAUGCUCAUUGGCUGCUUAGUUUUCUCUCUCCAAACAAGGU